rnacentral:rRNA from 1 species
UACGAAGGGGGCUAGCGUUGCUCGGAAUCACUGGGCGUAAAGGGCGCGUAGGCGGACUUUUAAGUCGGGGGUGAAAGCCCAGGGCUCAACCCUGGAAUUGCCUUCGAUACUGAGAGUCUUGAGUUCGGAAGAGGUUGGUGGAACUGCGAGUGUAGAGGUGAAAUUCGUAGAUAUUCGCAAGAACACCAGUGGCGAAGGCGGCCAACUGGUCCGAUACUGACGCUGAGGCGGCGAAAAGCGUGGGGAGCAAACAGGG